GCGAACGCUGGCGGCAGGCUUAACACAUGCAAGUCGAGCGGGCCCUUCGGGGUCAGCGGCAGACGGGUGAGUAACACGUGGGAACGUACCCUUUGGUUCGGAAUAACGCUGGGAAACUAGCGCUAAUACCGGAUACGCCCUUUUGGGGAAAGGCUUGCUGCCGAAGGAUCGGCCCGCGUCUGAUUAGCUAGUUGGUGGGGUAAUGGCCUACCAAGGCGACGAUCAGUAGCUGGUCUGAGAGGAUGAUCAGCCACACUGGGACUGAGACACGGCCCAGACUCCUACGGGAGGCAGCAGUGGGGAAUAUUGGACAAUGGGCGCAAGCCUGAUCCAGCCAUGCCGCGUGAGUGAUGAAGGCCUUAGGGUUGUAAAGCUCUUUUGUCCGGGACGAUAAUGACGGUACCGGAAGAAUAAGCCCCGGCUAACUUCGU
rnacentral:rRNA from 1 species